GAUGAAGAACGUAGCGAAAUGCGAUACGUAAUGUGAAUUGCAGAAUUCAGUGAAUCAUCGAAUCUUUGAACGCAUAUUGCGCUCUCUGGUAUUCCGGAGAGCAUGCUUGUUUGAGUAUCAGUAAACACCUCAACUUCCAUAUCUUUUUUGAAAUGGGAGUUGGACUUGAGUGAUCCCAACGCUUUUCCUCACCGAAAAGUGGCGGGUUACUUGAAAUGCAGGUGCAGCUGGACUUUUCUCUGAGCUAUAAGCAUAUCUAUUUAGUCUGCCUAAAAACAGAUUAUUACCUUUGCUGCAGCUAACAUAAAGGAGAUUAGUUCUUGUGCUGACUGAUGCAGGAUUCACAAAGACAGGCGUCGGCCGACUUUGUAAACUCGAUCUCAAAUCAAGUAAGACUACCCGCUGAACUUAAGCAUAUCAAUAAGCGGAGGA
rnacentral:misc_RNA from 1 species